AUAUGAUUAAACAGGUUGCUGUAGCAGGUUUUACUGCAGUUAGCGUCUGCACGGUCUGCAUCGCUGGGUCUCUUUUGCAGUGUUCUCCUUAGAGGUGGCCACCAUUGCGGCCUGAGUCUGUAUUUUGUUUCUGCUUCGCAGGUCUCCCAGCUGUAGCUGUAUCAACUUCCACUGAAUGUUCUUUUCCUGUUCUUUCAGUCUCCACUCUUCAUUUGGCAGCACCCUUCACAUCACAUCACAAUAUGCAUUGACUCACUCGCAUCUAUCAUGGGAUUCGUCAUCCCACCUUGUUUUGCCUUGUCCAGAAACUCCUCCAUCGUCUUGGUUCCCAGCAGUUGAGCCAAGUGAGCUUUCAUUUUCUGGUGUAGUCAACAUUCUCCCUACAGUUCAUCCUCAAAAACCGAUAUCCACCUGUUCAGUUUGUGGUAGUCUGGCAAUCAGCCCAACAAGGUGUAUGGUUUUCCACGGCACAUAGCUAGCCUGUGUGCCAUUUUUAAGACUGAAAACAUACUAUCAGAGUAUCUUCAGGUGAACAUGAUCUAGGCCAGGGGUGUCAAACUCAACCACAGCAAGGGCCAUAAUCUGGAUUUAGGUCUAACCUCAGGGCCAAAGAGGGUCAACAUUUCACCAAAACUGUUCAAUUUCCUUUUCAAAGCGUAUGGGACAAAAAUAGCAAUGAUUAUGAAUCAUUUAGAAAUUCAAAAGAGAUAAAUAAAUAAAAAAUAAUAAUAAAUUUAAAGGCAACCUAAGAUAGAAAAUUUUUGUUUUUUAUUCUAUUCUUAUCAGUUCAAAAGAUCAGAGCAUGAUAUUAAAAACAGAAAAAUAAUGCAUUGAAAGAGCAAAUACACAAGAAGAACGUUGAAAUCAGGUUCAAAAGGUCAAAAUAUGACUUAAAAUUUAAAACUGGAAUCUAAAGUAUAAAAAUGACACAAAUCUAAAUACUGAGUUGAACGAAAUCAAAGCACGAAAUGAAAAUUCAAUCAUGUUUGACUUGUAAUCUUGAGAUGCAAAAUUGAAAACAUGAAAUUAAACACCAAAUAUAGAUUUUUUAACAUUCUUGACCACUUAUCAAAUCUUCCUUACUCUUUAAUUUCCCAGAUUUUCCUGGCUUAUUAAGGACAUUUUAAAUAGAGGUGCUGAAGUUUACAUUAUUAUACAGGAAGAAAUCACAUAAUAUUUGCAGACUUCAUACUGGUGGGCCAAUAAUAAUACAAAUAUGAUAUGAUUUUAUGGGCCAGAUAUAAUUAUUCCAUGGACCAGAUUUGGCCCCCAGGCCUUGAGCCCGACACCUGUGAUCUGGCCUUUAUCUAAGAUCAUAUUUUGUGCAGGGUCACAUGAUAUUUGCGGGCCCUGCUUCUUACCUAAGCUGAGAAGUAUUUGUGCUACUACUACUUGUACUAUUGGGUGACACAGUUGACAUGGCAAGUCUAUGUUAUUGUUACCCAGAUUAAACCAAUAUGACUGUUCAGCAUUAUCAGCAUUAUCAUUCACAUAACAAUAACCUAUGAUCAUUACUUCGGGGAAUCAGGCAAAGGUUUGUAGUGGGCUUUGUCUCCCUCAGCAAACUCAAAAUCACUUAUUAUAUUAACUUUCCCUAACAGAGAAGGAUAAUUUCCUCCAUGUUCUGAUACUAGAUUUGGCUGCAGAAUCUCAUUUCUGUUUUACCUAUUUUCCAUGUUUGUGACUUUCUUUUCUCCACCUUCUCCUUAUUGCUUUCUAGCUCUGUAAACCCAAUCUUUAAUUUAUUCAUAAAACAGUGUUGGCCUUCAUUUUAGCACAUGACCAGUACUUUUAGUUCCAAAUCUCUUGUUUUUGUUUCUCUUGUUUACUUUUAUCUUUGUGUUAAUGGUCUUUAAUUUGCUGUUUCAAAUCCUCACACACAGUCACAUCAGAUGUGCCUCCUCUAGGUCAUAAAAUUCUAACCCCUUGGGCUCUAUAUUCGUGCCUCGCGGGAGAGGUGCCGCAGGCGCGGCAUGAGUCAGGUCUGCCGCGCCGACAAGGCGUUCCCAAGCACAUUUUGGUAUUUUGGUGAGCAGCGCAGCCCGGCGUAAGUAUCCCCCCUCCCUAACUCAGCUCCUCCCAGCGGCAUAAGUCGUAGCGAGGGAGGAGAAAGGGUGUGGAGUGGGUUUAACACAGCCGAGACCUGUUUUCACCAAUCACAUAAGCUCCUCUCCUUGCCUUUAAAUCCGCCACAGGCGAGGCGUAUUACUUUUUUCGUGAAGUAGUCAAAGAGAUCAAGAGAUGUCUGAAGACAGUAAUGUCACACGAUGGCGACAGAUGGUAGCUCCUCAACAAGUGUCGCUUUAAGCGCUGCAUUGGGCGUCCUCCACACUCUCUCAUAUGAGCACAGAUGGAUUACGUGUGUGUAAUGUUGGACCCACUGGUAAGACAAACACCCUUUUCCACAAAUAAAGACACUCACAUAAAGUUGCAUAUAUCCAAACCUCACGUGACAAAGGUGGGUUGUGCGCACAGAUCACAACAUAAACUCCAAAAAUGGCAUUAAAAUCGGAACCAUCUGUGUGUAAAUGACGCAUCGUGCUCCGUGGCCUGGCUCUAUCUUACAUAGACGUUGGCAUAUAAAAUAAAUUUGCCUCAAAAAACUGAAUAUAAUAUCCGUAUGUCGGCUUACAGUAGAUAACUUAUCUGAGCACUGAAACAAAUCAUCUGUUCAGCCGCUGCAGGACGGAGAGAGGACACGGAGAUGUGUCCAGGUCGAGCUGUGCGAGAAAUAAGAGGAAGAGGAAGAAAGAAAAGGAGGGAGAUGAAUUACAUAUCUAGUUAACUUGAUCAUGUGUGUUUAUUUACUAGAUAUUUAAUUUAAUUUGAUGCGGUUUCAGCUGUGUUGAUUUGGUCAGGUUGUGUGUCCAAAAACGUGCCAAACACGCUCAUCAGAUCACAUAUAGAUCAGAAUAUAUCUAUAUAGAUCUAAAUGUAUGUGCUGACUCAGAUUAUUAGUUGUUGAUGAUUAUUUAUUGUACUGAAAUGUGCCUGACACUGUGGAAACCUGCCAGUGAGGCAUGUGUGACGUAUGCCGAUACGCCGCCGGUCUACCAAAAUACUACUAGACCAGCUGCGCUCCGCCUGCGCUGAAAGCUGGCCAGGUUUGAAUCGGCGAGCUUUCAGCACACUUUACACGCCACUGGCGAGCACGAAAAUGUCACUGCGCCCGCUGAUUCUGUCGACAACUCCCCCUGCCACACCACCACGCCCAGCUUGGCGUAUCAUGCGCCUCAGGCCACGAAAAUACCAAACUGGCUGUACGUUGGGCUACGCCAGACAAAAAUACAACUGCGCGGGGUCCGCCACCCUCCGUCGCCUCACCGGCGUACACGAAAAUAGAGCCCCUUGACUCAAUGUCCCCAUUUUAUUGUAAGUUUUUGGAUAUCAUUUAAGUGUUCAGGAUCUUUACACCCUACCAAUGCAAUUGGAGUUAAACUAAUCUUCCCUUUCUGAUCAUGGUUUUUGUAGAACUUAUUAUUUCUAUUGCAUUGCUUUGUUCUAAAAACUUAGAUCAGCAAUGUUCCUGUAAACCUUUUUGUUUUAUUUCUGGCUAUGUUUUUAUUUUUGGAAAGAAAUCAAUUAUUAUUAUCAUUAUUGUUGAUUUUAAUUCUUAAUUUCGUGUUGAUAUGUUCACACCCUUCUCAGUCCCUUUUCACAACUUUAACAACUUUCAGUUACCCUUUUCACACUUCAACACUUUCAGUUACCCUUUGUCUGAUCUCUAAUCCAGAACACACAGUCACCCAUUGCCACAGAUAAAAGGAAAAAAAGAAUAAAACAGACCCGACACAAAGUUAGGAUCUUUCUUUGUAUGUCGCACCAUUUUUCCCAGCUUGCCUUGCUUAAAACUAUGUCACAAUCAAAGCCACAAUACUCUCACUGUCAGUCUUUUACACAUUCACUACUCAAACAGCACACUGCCACACCCUACUUCAAUCUUAACUUGUGUAACUAUUCAACACUUCAAUGCUUCUUCAAAUUAACACACACAUUAAAACUUGAUCCCCAGCGGUUUUGUAAGAUUCUCCAAAAAUACACAGUGUAAAGCUUUUGCAUUAACUGAAGUCUCACAGCAAUCAUUAUUAUCAUUAUAAUCAUUAGCAGUCAUUAUUGGUAUUAACAGCUUCAAUAAUAUUUAAAAAAAACAGUAUUUUGGCAGAAACAGCAGAUGUAUAGAAGCAACCCCUAGAUUUGAAGUUUUAGAAGUUUUGCACUCGUGGUACCUCAUUUCUUUUUUCCCCUUUUUGUAUCUUUUAUACUUUCAUAAACAUUAUUUCAGCAGCUUUAACACAGAAAAUUUGUUAAGGAGCAUAAGACGUGUUAACAACAAAAAACCAUCAUAAUAUUCAAGCACAAGCUAAAACCUUCAUAUCAGGAGUGUUCAUCAUGAAACUAGGAACAGAACCUCUUUCCCAGGAGUAUUUAACCUUUUAUGUCUCAACUGAUAGCAUGUCCACAGUGAGCACAGUAUUCACAUAAACAACUAUGAAAUAAACACAAGUGAGGAAAACACAGCAAUCUUUGAAUACACACACACAGAUGCAGAGUCUGGCUGUGAACACUGCCAGAGAAAUUAGUUGACACAGAGCAAGGCAGACACACACAAACAUCCAAUCAACCCACGCACUUCACUUUUUCAUCACACAAUGUUAUGCCCUUUCACACGCGUUUAAAGUCAAAGUCAGUCACUGGGGUCAGUCAGUAGUCUUCACCUUCUUUACUCUUACUUUAAACUCAUUUUAAGUGUUUUGUACUUUUUUAACAUUCCUACAAUUCCUGUGUUGAGGGUCAGUCCUCAGUUUUUAUUCUUGAUUCUUGUUUUGAUUUUUCCAAUUUGUGUGAUUUUUUUUUUCAAUUUGUGUGAUUCUUCUACAAUUGGUCAAGAGAUUUUGACUUCUUUUACUAUCUCCUGCUCAUCAAGCCAAUCUGUAUCUAUAAUUUAAGUCCAAUUAUAACACUGAUUUUGUGAGGCCUUUGAUAUAUAAAAGAGAUAUAUAUAUGUACAUUUCAAAUAUGUACUAUUCCUUCAUUAUACUUAUUCGGCCCUCUAGAGUCUGGAUCAGAAUUUCUGAGGAAGUAUGCCACUUUUGUUCUCCUUUUGGCUGUUUCUUAAGCCUCAGCGGAACUCCACAUGACAAAUCCUCCUUUCUAGUGGAGUUUUCUAGAAAGAAAAUCCACGUAUGUAUUAAUAGAUGAAUCUGCUCGUCCGUCGGCUACCACCUUUCAGAGCUCAUAAAAGAAUGACCUAAAACUCACAAUUCAACAAUGGACAGACACACUCGUGCCUGCCGCUUCCCUUGUUAUCUCAACAAUUAUCCAGAUCCUCUUAUCACUAGGCAUUCAGCCUAAAAAACACAUCACAACCCGGGCCAGGCUGUCUGCAGACCGGUGUCCACCCAACUACUGGCCUAUGCUCCUUCGCACCCAGUCUGGAAAACUUCUAAUACACCGGUCUCUCCCUAAACUACUGGCCUAUGCCGCUUAGCACCCAGUCUAUUAGCUCCACACAGCUACUGGCCUUAUGCCGCUUAGCACCCAGUCUACUAGUUCCACACAACUACUGGCCUUGUGCCACUUAGCACCCAGUCUAACUUGCUCCACACAACUACUGGCCUUGUGCCGCUUUGCACCCAGUCUGGCUAGUUCCACAAACUACUGGCCUUGUGCUGCUCCGCACCCAGUCUAACUAGUUCCACACAACUACUGGCCUUGUGCUGCUCCGCAUCCAGUCUAGCUAAUUCCACACAACUACUGGCCUUGUGCCUCUCUGCACCCAGUCUACUAGCUUCACAUAUAACGGUCUCACACAUAUAACAGCGUGAGGCGGUCUCACACAACCAACUGCAGUUUCCCCUAUAUUCAGCUGAUAUAUAUCCAAUUUAAAUUGGCUUCCUUUGUUAGGAAGGUUUCCUUCCCCAAAUUCAGCACACUUUGAUCAGCUGACUGCAUGCAUGCAGUUUUCUCAGACUGUCUUCAUUCCCACUGUCUCCUCUUAUUUCUAUUUUAGGUUCUUUGAUUGGAAGAGGACAGAGAGCCUUAAGCCUAAAAUCACUGUCCAAGACCUUUUUAGGAACAUGUUUCAGACGUUUUUUGAGUUAAUUAGAGCAAAAAGAAUGAAAAAUGUCAAAAAAAAUGUUUGGGGUUGUUAGGGCUUUUGAGUAAGAACCGGGUAUUGGGUAACGGGGCUACGGUUCGGUUUAGGGUUUUGGGAUUAGGGUUAAAUCACUGUCCAACACCUUUUUAGGAACAUGUUUCAGACCUUUUGGAGUUAGUUAGAAAGCAAAAAAUUAAAAAUUAAAAAAAAUGUUUGGGGUGUUAGGGUUUCCUUUAGGUAAUACCUGGGUAUUGGGUUAUGGGACUAGGGUAAGGUUUAGGGUUUUGGGAUUAGGGUUAAAUCACUGUCCAACACCUUUUUAGGAACAUGUUUCAGACCUUUUGGAGUUAGUUAGACCAAAAAAGACUUAAAAAUGUCAAAAAAAAAAAAUUGGGGUGUUAGGGCUUCCUGUAGAUAAUACCAGGGUAUUGGGUUACAGGGCUAGGGUUACGUUUAGGGUUUUAGGAUUAGGGUUAAAAUCAUUGUCCAAGACCUUUGUAGGAACAUGCUUCAAACCUUUUGGUGUUAAUUAGACCAAAAAAAAAAAGAAAAAAAAAUGUUUGGGGUGUUAGGGCUCCGUUUAGGUAAUACCCGGGUAUCAGGUUACAGGGCUAGGGAAAGGUUUAAGGUUUUUGGGGCUAGGGUUAAAGUCACUGUCCAAAACCUUUUUAGGAACAUGUUUCAGAUCUUUUGGAGUUAAUUAGACCAAAAAAAAAGAAAAAUGUCCCAAAAAAAUUUGGGGGUUGUUAGGGCUUUCUUUAGGUAAUACCUGGGUAUUGGGUUAGGAGGCUAAGGUUAGGGUUAGGGUGUUCGGUUAAGCCUUAAUAUCACUGUCCAAGACCUUUUUAGGAACAUAUUUCGGACCUUUUGGAGUUAGACAAAAAAAAAAAAACGAAAAAUGAAAGAAAAAUAUUUGGGGUGUUAGGGUUUCCUUUAGGUAAUACCCGGGUAUUGGGUUACAGGGCUAGGGUUACGUUUAGGGUUUUGGGAUUAGGCUUAAAAUCACUGUCCAAGACCUUUUUAGGAACAUGUUUCAGACCUUUUGGAGUUAAUUAGACCAAAAAAAUUGAAAAAUAUCAUCAAAAAUUUUGGGGUUGUUAGGGCUUUCUUUAGGUAAGACCCGAGUAUUGGGUUAUGGGGCUAGUGUUCGGUUUAGGGUUUUGGGAUUAGGGUUAAAAUCACUGGCAAAGACCUUUUUAGGAAGAUGUUUCAGACUUUUUGGAGUGAAUUAGACCAUAAACAAAGCAAAAAUGAAAAAAAUAAUGUUUGGGGUGUUAGGGCUUCCUCAAGGUAAGACCCAGGCAUUGGAUUAUGGGGCUAGGGUAUGGUUUAGGGUUUUUGGGGUUAAGCUUAAAAUCACUGUCCAAGACCUUUUCAGGAAGAUGUUUCAGACCUUUUGGAGUUAAUUAGACCAAAAAAAAUGAAAAAUGUCAAAAAAAGAAUUUGGGGUUGUUAGGGCUUUCUUUAGCUAAGACCUGGGUUGUGGGUUACAGGGCCAGGGUUGGGUGUAGGGUUUUGGGAUUAGGGUUAAUAUCACUGUCCAACCUUUUUAGGAACAUGUUUAAGACCUUUUGGAGUUAGUUAGAAAACAAAAAAAUUAAAAAUUAAAAAACAAGUUUGGGGUGUUAGGGCUUCCUUUAGGUAAUACCUGGGUAUUGGGUUACCGGGCUAGGGUAAGGUUUAAGGUUUUUGGGGUUAAGCUUAAAAUCACUGUCCAAGACCUUUUUAGGAACAUGUUUCAGACGUUUUUGAGUUAAUUAGAGCAAAAAGAAUGAAAAAUGUCAAAAAAAAUGUUUGGGGUUGUUAGGGCUUUUGAGUAAGAACCAGGUAUUGGGUAAAGGGGCUACGGUUCGGUUUAGGGUUUUGGGAUUAGGGUUAAAUCACUGUCCAACACCUUUUUAGGAACAUGUUUCAGACCUUUUGGAGUAAGCUAGAAAGAAAAAAAUUAAAAAUUAAAAAAAAUGUUUGGGGUGUUAGGGUUUCCUUUAGGUAAUACCUGGGUAUUGGGUUAUGGGACUAGGGCAAGGUUUAAGGUUUUUGGGGUUAAGCUUAAAAUCACUGUCCAAGACCUUUUUAGGAACAUGUUUCAGACGUUUUUGGGUUAAUUAGAGCAAAAAGAAUGAAAAAUGUCAAAAAAAAUGUUUGAGGUUGUUAAGGCUUUUGAGUAAGAACCGGGUAUUGGGUAAUGGGGCCACGGUUCGGUUUAGGGUUUUGGGAUUAGGGUUAAAUCACUGUCCAACACCUUUUUAGGAACAUGUUUCAGACCUUUUGGAGUUAGAACACAAAAAUUGAAAAAUAAAAAAUUUUUUUUGGGGUGUUAGGGUUUCCUUCAGGUAAUACCUGGGUAUUGGGUUAUGGGACUAGGGUUCGGUUUAGGGUUUUAGGAUUAAGGUUAAAUCACUGUCAAACACCUUUUUAGGAACAUGUUUCAGACCUUUUGGAGUUAGUUAGACCAAAAAAAAUGAAAAAUGAAAAAAAAAUGUUUGGGGUGUUAGGGCUUCCUCUAGGUAAUACCUGGGUAUUGGGUCACGGGUCUAGGGUAAGAUUAAAGGUUUUUGGGUUUAGGGUUAAAAUCACUGUCCAAGACCAUUUUAGGGACAAGAUUCAGAAAUUUGGAGUUAGACCAAAAAAAAAAAAAAAAUUGAAAAAAAAAAUGUUUAGGGUUGUUAGGGCUUCCUUUAGGUAAUACUAAAGGAAGUAUUGGGUUACGGGGCUAGGCUAAGGUUUAAGCUUUUUGGUGUUAGGGUUAAAAUUACUUUCCAAGACCUUUUUAGGAACGUGAUUCAGACCUUUUUGAGUUAGUUAGACCAAAAAAAUGAAAAAUGAGAAAAAAAUGUUUUGGGUUGUUAGGGCUUCCUUUAGGUAAUACUAACGGAAGUAUUGGGUUACGGGGCUAGGGCAAGGUUUAAGGUUUUUGGGGUUAAGCUUAAAAUCACUGUCCAAGACCUUUUUAGGAACAUGUUUCAGACGUUUUUGAGUUAAUUAGAGCAAAAAGAAUGAAAAAUGUCAAAAAAAAAUGUUUGGGGUUGUUAGGGCUUUUGAGUAAGAACCGGGUAUUGGGUAACGGGGCUACGGUUCGGUUUAGGGUUUUGGGAUUAGGGUUAAAUCACUGUCCAACACCUUUUUAGGAACAUGUUUCAGACCUUUUGGAGUAAGUUAGAAAACAAAAAAUGAAAAAUAAAAAAAAUUGUUUGGGGUGUUAGGGUUUCCUUCAGGUAAUACCUGGGUAUUGGGUUAUGGGACUAGGGUUCGGUUUAGGGUUUUAGGAUUAAGGUUAAAUCACUGUCCAACACCUUUUUAGGAACAUGUUUAAGACCUUUUGGAGUUAGUUAGACCAAAAAAAUGAAAAAUGAAAAAAGAAUGUUUGGGGUGUUAGGGCUUCCUUUAGGUAAUACCUGGGUAUUGGGUCACGGGUCUAGGGUAAGAUUUAAGGUUUUUGGGUUUAGGGUUAAAAUCACUGUCCAAGACCAUUUUAGGGACAAGAUUCAGAAAUUUGGAGUUAGACCAAAAAAAAACAAAAAUUGAAAAAAAAAAUGUUUUGGGUUGUUAGGGCUUCCUUUAGGUAAUACUAAAGGAAGUAUUGGGUUACGGGGCUAGGGUAAGGUUUAAGCUUUUUGGGGUUAGGGUUAAAAUCACUUUCCAAGACCUUUUUCCGAACGUGUUUCAGACCUUCUGGAGUUAGACCAAAAAAACAAGUAAAAUGUCAUAACUUUUUUGGUAUUGUAAGGGCUUUCUUUAGGUAAGACCGGGGUAUUGGGUUACAGGGCCAGGGUUGGGAUUAGGGUAUAAAUCAUUUCCCAAGACCUUUUUAGGAACAUGUUUCAGACCUUUUGGAGUUAGUUAGAAAACAAAAAAUGAAAAAUAAAAAAAAAAUGUUUGGGGUGUUAGGGCUUCCUUCAGGUAAUACCUGGGUAUUGGGUUACGGGGCUAGGGUAAGGUUUAAGGUUUUUGGGGUUAAGCUUAAAAUCACUGUCCAAGACCUUUUUAGGAACAUGUUUCAGACCGUUCGGAGGUAAUUAUACCAAAAAAAAUGCAAAAUGUAAAAAAAAAAUUUGGGGGUUGUUAGGGCUUUUUUAAAGUAAGAACUGGGUAUUGGGUUACGGGGCUAGGGUUCGGAUUAGGGUAAAAUCACUGUUAAGGAUCCUUUUAGGAGCAUUUUUCAGAGUUUUCGAGUUAGACCAAAAAAACUGAAAAAUGUUAAUUAGAUCAUAAACAAAGCAAAAAUGAAAAAAAAAUGUUUGGGGUGUUAGGGCUUCCUUAAGGUAAGACCCAGGCAUUGGAUUAUGGGGCUAGGGUAAGGUUUAGGGUUUUUGGGGUUAGGCUUAAAAUCACUGUCCAAGACCUUUUUCGGAACGUUUCAGACGUUUUGGAGUUAAUUAGAGCAAAAAAAAAGAAAAAUGUCAAAAAAAGAAUUUGGGGUUGUUAGGGCUUUUGAGUAAGACCUGGGUAUUGAGUAAUGGGGCUACAGUUCGGUUUAGGGUUUUGGGAUUAGGGUUAAAUCACUGUGCAAGAUCUUAAUAGGAACAUGUUUCAGACCUUUUGGAGUUAGUUAGACCAUAAACAAAGGAAAAAUGAAAAAAAAAUGUUUGGGGUGUUAGGGCUUCCUUUAGGUAAUACUCGGGUAUUGGGUUACGGGGCUAGGGUAAGGUUUAAGGUUUUUGGGGUAAGGGUUUAAAUCAUUGUCCAAAGCCUUUUUAUGAACAUGUUUCAGACCUUUUGGAGUAAGUUAGACCAGAAAAAUACGAAAAAUUAAAAUAAAAAUGUUUGGGGUGUUAGGGCUUCCUUUAGAUAAUACACGGGUAUUGGGUUACAGCGCUAGGGUAAGGUUUAAAGUUUUUGGCACAAGGGUUAAAAUUACUGUCCAAGACCUUUUUAGUAACCUGUUUCAACCUUUUUGGAGUGAAUUAGACCAAAAUAAAUUGAAAAAUAAGAACAAAAUGUUUGGGUGUUAGGGCUUCCUUUAGAUAAUACCUGGGUAUUGGGUUUCAGGACUUGGGUAAGGUUUAAGGUUUUUGGGGUCAGGAUUAAUAUCACUGUCCAAAACCUUUGAGGAACAUGUUUUAAACCUUUUGGAGUGAAUUAGACCAACAACAAAAAAAAAAAAAAAUUAAAAAAUAAUUGUUUGGGGUGUUAGGGCUUCCUUUAGGUAAUACUAAAGGAAGUAUUUGGUUAGUAUUGGGUUACAGGGCUAGGGUAAGGUUUAAGGUUUUUUGGGUUAGGCUUAAAAUCACUGUCCAAGACCUUUUUAGGAACAUGUUUCAGAUCUUUUGGAGUGAAUUAUACCGAGAAAAAAAAAAGAAAAAUGUCAAAAAAAAAUAUUUUGGGCGUUGUUAGGGCCUUUUUAAUGGUAAUACCCAGGAAUUUGGUUAAGGGGCUAGGGUGAGGGUUAGGGUUUCUGGAUAAGGGUUCAUAUCACUGUCCAAAAACCUUUGAGGAUCAUGUUUCAGACCUUUUGAGUUCAUUAGACCAAAAAAUCCGCUCUGACAGCUCUCAUCAGCCUGCUGUGUUCCUCCAACACACAGACACACACACACGCGCGCACAUACGUGGAGUUUUGUUUCCUUUGACGAUGACGUUGACAAAAAUAUUUUCGUCAACGUCAUGGUUGACGAAAACAACACUGGAUUAAUAUCACUGUCCAAUACCCUUUUAAGGUUUUUGGGGUUAGGGUUAAAAUCAUUGUCCAAGACCUUUUUAAGAACAUGUUUCAGACCUUUUGGAGUUAAUUAUACCAAAAAGAAAAACGAAAAAUGUCAAAAAAAAAAAUUGGGGUUGUAAGGGCUAUUUUUUUAGGUAUUUUUAGGUGUUGGGUUUCGGGGCUAGGGUUAGGUUUAGGGUUUUGGGAUUAGGGUUAAAAUAAACUGUCCAAGAACUAUUUAGGAACAUGUUGCAAACCUUUUGGAGUUCAUUAGAAAAAGAAAGAAAAAUGUCAUUUUUUUUUUUAUGUUAGGGCUUCCUUUAAGUAACACCUGGAUAUUGGGUAACAGGGCUGAGGUUAGGGAUAUGUAUUUAGGGUUAAAAUUACUGUCCAACAACCUUUGGGGAACAUGUUUCAAACCUUUUGCAAUUCAUUAGACCCAAAAAAAACAAAAAAUGAAAAAAAAAUGUUCAGGCUUAAAAUCACUGUCCAAGACCUUUUUAGGAACAUGUUUCAGAUCUUUUGGAGUUAGUUAGACCAAAAAAAAAUGAAAAAAAAUGUUUGGGGUGUUAAGGCUUACUUUAGGUAAUACCCAGGUAUUGGUUUACGGGGCUAGGGUAAGGUUUAAGGUUUUUGGGGUUAGGGUUAAAAUCACUGUCUAAGACCUUUUUAGGAACAUGUUUCAGAUCUUUUAGAGUUAAUUAUACCAAAAAAAACACACAGAGCUGUGUGAUAAAAGUCAGACCCAGGACAAUGAUGAUCAGACACAACAACAGGAUGCAGACAUAUCUAAUGGUGGUGUUGUUUUGGAGUCGUGCCUUCAGCCACGUGAUGUUUUUGAGGAAAUAUUGUGUUUCAGUGACUCGCGAGAAUACACUGGAUGAAAACAGACCCAUGAAAUUAUCACCCAGUAGUUAUUUUAAAGCAAGGCUCUUUGGUGUUGAUGAUCGCUUUACCAGAGAUACCAACUACCUGUUCUUUGCACAGUUUGUGACAGAGAUACACUUGGCUACCUCCAGCAUGUCCAUACAGUUACACAAAGGCAAACCUUUGACCAGAGACGGACAUAAAAAAACAUUCAAAAUUUUGAGAGACAAAUAUGAAGUGGAGAGACUGGUGAGAAACAGAGAUGCUAUCAGAUUUAUGCAGCCACUCAAGGGAACACCAGCCUACUAGGACAAAACUACAAAAGAUCUGUUUGCUAUGAUCAGGCAGUUGGGCAGUCCUACUUUCUUUGUCACAUUUUCUGCAGCAGAAAUGCUUUGGCCUGAGGUGAUUAUUGCAAUAAAAUCACAACAAGGUGAGGAGGUGACAUUCAAAGUGUGACAUUCUGAGAAGCAAUCCUGCGCAUGUUUGAUAAGUGUGUUGAAGCACUGUACAGAGAUCUGAUCAUGUCUCCUGCACAACCCCUGGGCAAAGUUUAUGACUUCUUUUGGCGUCUCGAGUUUCAGCACAGAGGAAGUCCUCAUAUACAUGGUCUUUUGUGGGUAGAAGGUGCACCUGUGUUUGAGAGAGAUUCUGACAAAACUGUGUGUGACUUUGUGUCCAAACACAUCUCUGCUCAGCUCCCUGACCCAAAUAAAGAGCCUGAACUGUACAAAAAGGUCAAAGAAGUGCAAAUACACAGUAAGAAGCACUCAAAGACAUGUUUCAAAAGUGCAAGUUCAGGAUGCCGUUUUGGAUUCCCAAAACCACCCUCCAGACGGACAAUGAUAACAAGACCUGUGGAUGAUGAUGAGGAGUCAGAGAGACUUAAGAGAGCCAAAGAGAAACUUGCACCACUGAAUCAGCUGCUGAAUGAGACACAAACUGAAUCCCUGAGUUUUCAACAGCUCCUGUCUGUCUGUGACUUAACCGCUGAUGAGUACAAGAAACACAUGCAUUUGAUGAGUCGGUCAAGCAACAUCCUUCGGAAGCGUGAGCCAAAAGACUGCUGGGUAAACACCUACAACCCUCACCUGCUCAAGGCCUGGGAUGCAAACAUUGAUGUGCAGUUCAUUCUCAGCUACUACAGUCUAAUCCAUUACAUAUGUACGUACAUGUGUAAAAGUGAGAACUCUGUGAGCCAGUAUCUGCAAACACUCAUUCAGAACUCUGAGAGAGAAUGUGUCAAUCAAUCAAUCAAAUCAAUCAAAUUUUAUUUAUAUAGCGCCAAUUCACAACAGUCGUCAUCUCAAGACGCUUUUCAAGGAACAAGAGCAGGUCUGGACCACGCUCAUUGUUUGAUGAUCAAGAACCAACCUAAGAUGGGUUUUGGCCCAUCUCAACCAACAUGAGUUACAGUGGCAAGGAAAAACUUCCUUUUAACAGGCAGAAACCUUGGGCAGGACCAGCCUCAUGCUAGACAGCCACCAUGCCGCUGCUGGGUUGGGGAGGAAUGUAGAGAGAAGAGGGGAGAGGGGGAGAGGACAGGGGGAGGGAGAGAGACACAAGAUAGGGGAAAGGCGAGAGAGAAUGAGUACGGAGAGGGAGGGGGAGGGAGAGAGAGUAAGGAACGAGGGUGAGAGAGAGACAGGAGGCAGCAGGAACAACAGCAACAACAACAGCUCAUGUAAUGGUGAAACAAAAUGAGUUCAGUUUACAGGGUUAGGAUAUGAGUGCUAAUGGACAAUGUUGAAUUAAUUGAGUGUGAUUACAGUUAGCAGGCUUAAUCGUAGUCAGUUCUAUUUUGUAUUAUUAAUGGGGGGGGGGGUCUGCAGCAACGGUCCAGAGGAGCCAAAGAGCCAAAGAGCCGGGGUGGAUGCAGCUGGGGUCAGGCAGUUCCACAGCAGACCGUUUGCAGCAUUAGUCCAGCGGCAGCUAAAAGACUCAGAGACACACUCAGAGAGACAGAAAACUGGUCAGUGACUUAUAUGGGACAUAAAGAUAGGAGAUAGAGACAGACUCUAGCUCAGUGUGCCAGAUAGCCCCGGCAGUCUAGGCCUAUAGGAGCAUAACUAAGAGCUGGUUCAAAUCAGCCCUGACUAUAGGCUUUAUCAAAGAGGAACGUUUUAAGUCUACUCUUGAAAGUUGAGAGUGUGUCUGCCCCCCGAACCUCGAGCGGUAAAUGAUUCCAGAGAAGAGGUGCCUGGUAGCUGAAAGCUCUUCCUCCAAUACUACUUUUAGAGACAUUUGGUACAACGAGCAGACCUGCAGACUGUGAGUGUAACGGUCUAGAUGGAAAGUACGGUAUAACUAGCUCGUCGAAAUAUGAUGGAGCCUGGCCAUUAAGCGCUUUAUAUGUCACAAGGAGGAUUUUAAACUCAAUUCUAUAUUUAAUAGGGAGCCAGUGAAGAGAGGCUAAAACAGGAGAGAUGUGCUCCCUUCUUCUAGUUCUAGUCAAUACCCGAGCUGCUGCAUUUUGGACCAGCUGAAGAGUCCUUAAUGACUUACUAGAGCAGCCUGACAGGAGAGAAUUACAGUAAUCCAGCCUAGAGGUUACAAAGGCAUGGACUAGUUUUUCUGCAUCGCUCUGAGACAAUAUGCGUCUAAUUUUUGAGAUAUUGCGCAGGUGGAAAAAGGCUGUCCUGGAAAUUUGUUGAAUGUGGGAGCUAAAAGAUAAAUCCUGAUCAAAUACAACUCCUAGAUUUCGCACAGUGGGGCUGGAUGCCAGGCUGAUACCAUCAAAUGUAGCUAAAUUACUAGAGAAUGCCUCUCUAAGGUGUUUAGGACCGAGGACCAGAACUUCAGUUUUGUCUGAGUCAAUGAAUGUGAUGAAAUGAAAGUGGUCAUGCAGGCGUAUUCCAAAAAGCGAGAAGUAUCAGCACAAGAAGCUGUUGCCCGAGUGACUUCACUGAACAUGAAAAAGAGUACACGCAGUGUGGUUUUUGUCCCAACUGAUGACAACCCAGUGAAAAUGAGUCUGCCUGUGUCAAGCCUUGACAACACUACACCAGACAGCUUGAAUGUGUGGAUGACAUCCUUAACAGACAAAUACAAAUCCAGACCUGAAACACCAGAGUUUGAAGAGAUGUACAUGGCUGAUUUUACAUCUACCUGCAGACUGGUGUAUGGACAACAGACCAAGGGCAAGAAAGUGUACCCUUGCUGAAUGAACUAGGCUUUAUACAGAGACGAGAAAGUGACAACGCUGCUGUCAUCAGGUAUCGCCGCAUAUGGAAAGAGAAAUACCCUGAGCAGUUUUACGGCACAUUGCAUAUACUGUAUCUUCCAUACAGAUCAGACGAUGAGCUGAAAAGACCAUAUCUUCCCACGUAUGAGUCAUUCUAUAAGAGAGGUGUGGUUCAGCUGCCAUAUUCUGACCAACCCCUGCGUGUGAAACUCAUUGUGAAAAGAAACAGAGAGAGAUAUGAAAAAAACGGUGAGGAAAUUGACUCUGCUCUCGAGGACUUUGAACAGAACAGAGGUGUGAUCGAUGAAUGGUGUAAUUUGGCACCUGAAUCUGAACUGGUGAAGUUGGAGUGUAUCGAUGAACUGGAUGCCUGACAGUGUGAAAAUGUCCAACAGGAUGUACCGGAAUACAGCAGACAAGCUAAUGCUGCUACAGAGGCCAGAGUCAUGAGAGAGCCCCCUACAAUCAAUCCCACACGGUUACGACAAAUGUAUCAGAGUCUGAACCAGAAGCAGGCAUGUGUGUUCUAUGCAGUGAGAGACUGGUGCAUAAAACGAGUCUGUGGACUACAACCAGAGCAGUUUUUCUACUACAUAAAUGGUGGUGCUGGCACUGGAAAAUCACCUCAUUAAAUGCAUUCAUUCAGAAGCAUCAAAGAUACUGAGAACUCUACCUAGACGUGUAGAGGAAGCUGACAUCUCAAACCCGACUGUGCUGUUGACUGCUUUCACUGGAACUGCAGCCUUUAACAUCUCUGAAACAACACUGCACUCUCUUCUCAAGCUGCCCAGAAGUUUGAAACCUCCUUUUCAAGGUCUUGGGAACCAACUUGAUUAAAUCAGGUGUGAGCUUUUAAAUGCUGAAAUCAUUAUCAUUGAUGAAAGGUCAGAUAAGAUUUCUGAGGCUGACAGAGCUCUGCUGUCACAGCGUGUCACUGAACCACAACUGUGUCCCUCUGAUGUCCUGCACAUUUUUGCUACAAACGAACAAGUCGCAGCACACAACUCUGCUACACUAUCUCUGCUCCAUUCUGAUAUCACCACCAUUGAUGCAGAUGACUUUAAAAAGGACCCACACACUGGACACAUGAAAAGACAAGGUGCACCAUGUCAUGGAAGCAGAAAUGAUCUACCUGACACACUAGAUGUUGGAGUAGGUGCUAGAGUCAUGCUCAUCAGAAACACUGAUGUGUCUCAAGGAUUGGUAAACGGAUCAUUUGCUACAGUAGGCCAUCUCAUAAGCUCUGACAACAACAGUUCUACUCUUGUCACUAUGCUUGGUCUCAGGAUGGAUGAUGAAACAGCUGGCAGGAGCUAUCGUACUCGAGGAGACAAUCUUGUGUACAUCGAGAGAUCUGAGGAGGCUCUGCAUCAGAAAGGAGUGGUACGCAGACAGUUUCCUGUGAAACUUGCCUUUGCAUGCACGAUACACAAGGUUCAAGGUAUGACCAGAAAAUCUGCUGUUGUUUCUCUGAAGCACAUUUUUGAGCUCGGCAUGGCCUACGUAGCUAUCAGUCGAGUGACCUCUCUCGGCGGACUGCACAUGUUUGAUUCGGAUGAGAGUAAAAUUCAUGCUAACCCUGCAGUCACUGUAUCUUUGGAGACCAUGGCGCAAGCUAACUUUGAUCACCUCAUGCCUUUUCUCCAUAUCCAGCAUUCUCUUAGCAGACAGGCCACUGUGAGCAUCAUUCAUCACAACACCGAAGGAUUACCUGCUCAUGUGAAUGACAUCAAAAGCCAUCAUGAACUGUGUCUUGCAGAUGUUUUGUGUCUGACAGAAACUCACCUACAGGGGUCCUUUGUGGCAGACAGUCUCCAGUUUGAGGGCUACACCAUGUUCAAACGCAACAGACAUUUGUGCUACACUAACUUUCCACAGAUGGCCAGUAAAGGAGGUGGUGGAGUCCAGUGGCGAUUGCUCUAAGACUGCAAGGGAAGCUCAGCUUCCAUUAAAAUGUCACCCCCCCAAAAAAAGAAAAAGUGGUGAAAUACGUACUGCUGUGUGUUCAUUUCAUUAACUAAAUACGCGCUAGAAAGCCUUCAUCUUUUGUUCAUAAUCAGCUUCUUAUCACACUGUGAUAAGAAGCUGAUAAUCACAGGUAACCGGCAUAACUUCGUUCUCAUUCAUCCUCGCAGCGCCUCGGCGCUUCACACAGCC